rnacentral:rRNA from 1 species
CCCUUAGACGUUCUGGGCCGCACGCGCGCUACACUGACCAGUGCAACAAGCAUCCGUCCUUGGCCGACAGGCUCGGGCAAUCUUUGAACGCUGGUCGUGAUGGGGAUAGACUUUUGCAAUUUUUGGUCUUCAACGAGGAAUUCCUAGUAAACGCAAGUCAUCAACUUGCAUUGAUUACGUCCCUGUCCUUUGUACACACCGCCCGUCGCACCUACCGAUUGAAUGGUCCGGUGAAGCCUCCGGAUUGGCGCGCACCUCGGUGCCGCCGAGAAGUUGGCUAAACCUUACCAUUUAGAGGAAGGUGAAGUCGUAACA